rnacentral:rRNA from 1 species
UUACCAGACUCCUACGGGAGGCAGCAGUGAGGAAUAUUGGUCAAUGGCCGGAAGGCUGAACCAGCCAAGCCGCGUGAAGGACGAAGGUGCCAAGCAUUGUAAACUUCUUUUGUCAAGGGACAAAAUCAGGCUCGAGAGCCUGACCGAGGGUACUUGAAGAAAAAGCAUCGGCUAACUCCGUGCCAGCAGCCGCGGUAAUACGGAGGAUGCGAGCGUUAUCCGGAUUUACUGGGUGUAAAGGGCGUGUAGCCGGGUUGACAAGUCAGAUGUGAAAUCCUGCGGCUUAACCGCAGAACUGCAUUUGAAACUGUUGAUCUUGAGUACUGGAGAGGCAGACGGAAUUCCUAGUGUAGCGGUGAAAUGCGUAGAUAUUAGGAGGAACACCAGUGGCGAAGGCGGUCUGCUGGACAGCAACUGACGGUGAGGCGCGAAAGCGUGGGGAGCAAACAGGAUUAGAUACCCGCGUAC